GUGUAUAUGAGUAUAAAUAAAUAAAAUAAUUAAUCUAAGGGAUGUUACUGUAGCAAAAUAGUAAUAAAAGGUUUAAGGGCAUCUUAUUUAUAAUAAUAAAAUAUUGUUUUUGGUCCCUGCAACAAGGACCCAUAUGUUUUCCUUUUCUUUCUUCCUUCCCCGACCCCACCACCCACCUUCUUCUCCAUUUUCACCAUUUCCAACCACCUUCACCACCACCCAGCAUCUCUACUCCCUCUUCUUCCUCUUCCCUUGCCGACAUCAACCUUCUCCUUUAUUUCUCAUCGGAAAAUCGAAAUAAAGUGGAGGAGAAAAUGUUCCUCCUCACUGCCGGUGCUUAGACCAGCCACCAGCCAGCAUUUUCCACCCAAACUGACCCCGAAAUCGCCAUCCCCACCCUCCAAAAUCUCAGGACAGUCCUUCCUCGCCAUCGAACAGUCGCGUCCAGCUCAUCCAAGCCACACCGGAGCAAAUUCUUUUCCACCUGGAUCUGGCAUUUUCCGAUGAGAAUUAGGCUGCAAUUUUUUUGUAUUUAGAAUCCAUGCAUCUUAAGCUGCCCGUAGGCUCUUCCGAUUCGAAUAAUGUUGACCGUACUGGCUUCUGGACCUCUUUGUUUUUUAGACGCC
rnacentral:lncRNA from 1 species